CCUACGGGUGGCAGCAGUGGGGAAUAUUGGACAAUGGGCGAAAGCCUGAUCCAGCCAUGCCGCGUGUGUGAAGAAGGCCUUCGGGUUGUAAAGCACUUUCAGUGGGGAAGAAAGCCUUGGGGCUAAUACCCUCGAGGAAGGACAUCACCCACAGAAGAAGCACCGGCUAACUCCGUGCCAGCAGCCGCGGUAAUACGGAGGGUGCGAGCGUUAAUCGGAAUUACUGGGCGUAAAGCGCGCGUAGGCGGUCUGAUAAGCCGGUUGUGAAAGCCCCGGGCUCAACCUGGGAACGGCAUCCGGAACUGUCAGGCUAGAGUGCAGGAGAGGAAGGUAGAAUUCCCGGUGUAGCAGUGAAAUGCGUAGAGAUCGGGAGGAAUACCAGUGGCGAAGGCGGCCUUCUGGACUGACACUGACGCCGAGGUGCGAAAGCGUGGGUAGCAAACAGGAUUAGAUACCCGUGUAGUC
rnacentral:rRNA from 1 species